UACGUAGGCAGCGAGCGUUGUUCGGAGUUACUGGGCGUAAAGGGUGUGUAGGCGGUUGUUUAAGUUUGGUGUGAAAUCUCCCGGCUCAACUGGGAGGGUGCGCCGAAUACUGAAUGACUAGAGUGCGGGAGAGGAAAGUGGAAUUCCUGGUGUAGCGGUGAAAUGCGUAGAUAUCAGGAGGAACACCGGUGGUGUAGACGGCUCACUGAACCAUAACUGACGCUGAGACACGAAAGCGUGGGUAGCAAACAGG
rnacentral:rRNA from 1 species